AUUGAACGCUGGCGGCAGGCCUAACACAUGCAAGUCGAGCGAGCGGCGGACGGGUGAGUAAUGUAUGGGGACUGCCCGAUAGAGGGGGAUAACUACUGGAAACGGUAGCUAAUACCGCAUACUAUCGGAUAACCCAUAUGGGAUUAGCUAGUAGGUGAGGUAAUGGCGCACCUAGGCUACGAUCCCUAGCUGGUCUGAGAGUAUGAUCAGCGACACUGGUACUGCUACACGGCCCAGACUCCUACGGACGCAGCAGGGGGGAAGAUUGCACAAUGGGCGGAAGCCUGGUGCAGCCAUGCCGCGUGUAUGAAGAAGGCCAUAGGGUUGUAAAGUACUUUCAGUCGGGAGGCGUUACCGACAGAAGAAGCACCGGCUAACUCCGUGCCAGCAGCCGCGGUAAUUC
rnacentral:rRNA from 1 species